rnacentral:rRNA from 1 species
GAUGAACGCUGGCGGCGUGCCUAAUACAUGCAAGUCGAGCGGUAAGGCCACUUCGGUGGUACACGAGCGGCGGACGGCUGAGUAACACGUAGGAACGUACCCCAAACUGAGGGAUAACUGCUCGAAAGAGUAGCUAAUACCGCAUGUGCUCUAAGGAGUAAAGCUACGGCGGUUUGGGAACGGCCUGCGCAUGAUUAGCUUGUUGGUGAGGUAAUGGCUCACCAAGGCGACGAUCAUUAGCUGGUCUGAGAGGAUGAUCAGCCAGACUGGGACUGAGACACGGCCCAGACUCCUACGGGAGGCAGCAGUAGGGAAUUUUCCACGAUGGGGGCAACCCUGAUGGAGCAACGCCGCGUGCAGGAUGAAGGCCCUUGGGUCGUAAACUGCUUUUAUCUGUGAAGAUUAUGACGGUAGCAGAUGAAUAAGGAUCGGCUAACUCCGUGCCAGCAGCCGCCGUAA